CACGUAGGCACCAAGCGUUGUCCGGAUUUAUUGGGCGUAAAGAGCUCGUAGGCGGUUGAGUAAGUCGGGUGUGAAAACUCUGGGCUUAACCCAGAGCCGCCACCCGAUACUGCUCUGACUUGAGUUCGGUAGGGGAGCAGGGAAUUCCUAGUGUAGCGGUGAAAUGCGCAGAUAUUAGGAGGAACACCGGUGGCGAAGGCGCUGCUCUGGGCCGAAACUGACGCUGAGGAGCGAAAGCGUGGGGAGCGAACAGG
rnacentral:rRNA from 1 species